UGAGGAAUAUUGCGCAAUGGGCGAAAGCCUGACGCAGCGACGCCGCGUGAAGGAUGAAGGUCUUCGGAUUGUAAACUUCUGUUAAGUGGGAAGAAAGCUUGUUUUAUAAUACAAGACAAGUAUGACGGUACCAUUAGAGAAAGCACUGGCUAACCUCGUGCCAGCAGCCGCGGUAAUACGAGGGGUGCAAGCGUUAUUCGGAAUGACUGGGCGUAAAGGGCGCGUAGACGGUAUAUUAAGCUUGUCGUUAAAUUCCCCAGCUUAACUGGGGGCCUGCGGCGAGAACUGAUAUUCUAGAGGGUGAGAGAGAAGAGUGGAAUUUCCGGAGUAGCGGUAAAAUGCGUAGAUCUCGGAAGGAACACCGAUGGCGAAGGCAGCUCUUUGGCUCAUACCUGACGUU
rnacentral:rRNA from 1 species